rnacentral:rRNA from 1 species
CGCGUAGGCGGCCUAUUAAGUCAGAUGUGAAAGCCCGGGGCUCAACCCCGGAAGUGCAUUUGAAACUAGUAGGCUUGAGUAUGGGAGAGGGAAGUGGAAUUCCUGGUGUAGAGGUGAAAUUCGUAGAUAUCAGGAGGAACACCGGUGGCGAAGGCGACUUCCUGGACCAAUACUGACGCUGAGGCGCGAAGGCGUGGGUAGCAAACA